UGGAUGAUGUGGUUAAUUCGAUGCAACGCGAAAACCUUACCUACCUUUGACAUGUACGGAAUUCGCCAGAGAUGGCUUAGUGCUCGAAAGAGAACCGUAACACAGGUGCUGCAUGGCUGUCGUCAGCUCGUGUCGUGAGAUGUUGGGUUAAGUCCCGCAACGAACGCAACCCUUGUCAUUAGUUGCUACAUUUAGUUGGGCACUCUAAUGAGACUGCCGGUGACAAACCGGAGGAAGGUGGGGAUGACGUCAAGUCCUCAUGGCCCUUAUAGGUAGGGCUACACACGUCAUACAAUGGAUGGUACAAAGGGUCGCCAACCCGCGAGGGGGAGCCAAUCCCAUAAAACCAUUCGUAGUCCGGAUCGCAGUCUGCAACUCGACUGCGUGAAGUCGGAAUCGCUAGUAAUCGUGGAUCAGAAUGCCACGGUGAAUACGUUCCCGGGUCUU
rnacentral:rRNA from 1 species